rnacentral:lncRNA from 1 species
AAUAAGAACAAAUACAAACUUAAUUCAGUCAACACAGCAUAAAUUAGAGAUCCAGAAGAAUUUAAUGAUCCAGAAGAAUUUAAUGAGUGCAGCCAUCGGAACGUCAUACAAAAGUGAAUGAAUGAUGACGUAAAAUUCAAUGACGAGAAUUGAAACUGCAUUAUAACACUUAACAAUACACAAUAUCCCCAAAAGGAACAUCAAUGUGUUAAAAUGGACAAAAAAGGGCUCAUGAAUAAUACCAUCAAGGAAUCCAUAGUCACUGCACUAGCUAAAAACUGAUGAACAUUGUUCCAGCAGUUCUAACAACUUUAAUCCAAAUUUUAAAUAUAUCGAUGAAAAAACAACCCCACUUCCAGAAACUUUGUCAUGGCGUCACAGGAUUUUUGAUCACCAAGUCUCAUAAUUAUACAUAAGCCAUUUCAAUCACACUGUUCCAUUUUUAACCGAAUCAAAGACUGUACAUGCAUCUUUGUUACAAAGAAAGUUACACACAUAGCAAUAAAACUGACUUCCCAUUGCUAUUCCUUCCAUAUUGUGUACCAUUGCCAUGCACUCUUUAAUGGAAGAUCCAGAUGAUGCAGCAAGGAUAAUCUUAAUCUUAUCCUUCAAUGGAGAUGCACCUGACUUCGUUCUUUUACAAUUAUCACUUAGGCUUCCACUUUCAGUUGAUCUUCUUUUCUCAACCAUGGAAGACGGAGACAUUUCAAUAUCUCCUUCCUCACAAUGGGAAGACUUAUCUAUGUAUUUUAAAUAAAAUUGUAGAACACAACAUAACGUUAGAAGGCGUAAUCUCAUCCAUUUGUCAAAUCUUUCUUCCCAUUGUUUUUCGUCAAUUUCUUCACCCUCGAUAUUAGAAGCAUUAUUUGUUGCAGAAGCUACAUAUGAUAUAUCCCAAAUCUCGAUCCAACAGAUCAAUGAAAACACAGACAGUACUACCAAUUGAUCAUUAUAGCCAAAAAUAUGGCCAACACACAAAUUCAAAAAGAACCUAUCUCUAUAUAUCAAAAAUUAAAAUGAAUAUUAACCAAAAAGCUCAGGUGUAACAUAGCACAGAACUAAUAUGCUACACUUAUACAAAAUUUCCAGCAGAAGUAUUCCAACCUAUAAGUCAUUCUCAAACUCACAAACAGAUAGUUAUUUCAGUAGCAGGAUGAGAAACGUACGAUCGGUAAUAUGUAAGAACUUGUGGGCUUAUGGGCUGGUUUGUCUUCCAGUUAUUGGGUCAGUCAGUCUUCCUAUUAAUUCCUUUAAGUAUUGUAUUAGGUCAUUAGUUAAUGAAGUCCAAUGGGUUAUGCUUAACGCAGUCCAGUAAUAGGAAUAAAUGCCAGAGUUGACUGAGUCCACAGUCAUGUCCGAGUCUUUAGGAAGAGUCUGUAGUGCAGUAG